GUUCUAGUGAGGGCUCCUCUCAGAUGCUAAUUAUGUAUAUUUCCUUUCUUCUUUCUCCUAAACCUUCCUUAUGCUUUUCUGCUCUGCAAGGAUCAAAGCCAGUGUAGUGAGCCUAGUACCUAGGGAAAAUUGGGGAAGAUAAGGCUGUUCUGAAGGGCUGUGGAUUUUACAAGUUACGCAGAGUUGAGAGUGGCCAGUACAUGAAUGGGACAGCAGCAGUUUUCAGCAACAGCUGUGACAGACCACAGCUAGCACAGGUCACUGGGCCAUUCCUCAUUCACCUUCCCGAGCCCCAGGAUCCCCAAAGAAUUCUCUCUCUCUGAUUCGAAUACAAAACCAUUAAAAUUUUUCAAAUUGUUUCCCCUUGUUGUUCUCUUUUUCUCGCAAGUUUUAGCACCAGAUUGGUGGACCCUGGAAACUGAGGCUAUGUCUACACAGCACGUUUGUGGGUAUAACUUUCGUCGGUCGGGUGUGAAAAAAAACACACAUACAACCGACAAAAUUUUCACUGACAAAGUGCUGGUGCGGACAGCACUAUGUUGGCGGGAGAUGCUUUCCCGUUGAUGUAGCUAUCGUCGCCCUGGGGGUGGUUUAAUUACGCUGGCGGGAGAGCUCUCUCCUGCCGGCACAGAGCAGCUACACGGGAGACCUUGCAGCGGGACAGCUGUGCCGCAGUAAGGUCCAUAGUGUGGACAUAGCCUGAGGCUUGGUCUACUCAAAGAUUUUGAGGGGGGCUAGCUGUUUCAGUUAGGAGGGUGAUUUUUUACCAAAAUAGUUAUCCUGGUACAACCUCUAGCGUGGAUGCAGUUAUACAUUCCCCUUCCCAUACAGGAAUAAACAAUACCACUGCAAUCGCCUUUACACUGAUAAAACAUUCCCAACACUAGUGAGGUUUAAGUAUACCAGUAUAGUUUAAAAGGUACAGCUCUUGUGUGUGAACAAGUCCCCCAGUGUGUCCCCACUAGUGUGACCAGAUGUCCUGAUUUUUUAGGGACAGUCCUGAUAUUUGGGGCUUUUUCUUAUAUAUGCGCCUAUUAUCCCCCCACUUCUGUCCCGAUUUUUCACACAUGCUAUCUGGUCACCCAGAGUGGGUGCAGUCCUGGCAGCAGAGGGGAGGACUCCACACCCUCCCCUGCCCAUGCACUUCAACCUGCUCUGGAUACCUGACACUCCUGUGUAUCCUGCAGAAUGGGUGCAUGCAGACAGACACACACACACACGCUCUCUCUCUCUCUCUCAGUGUGCCCAUCAGAUGGAUAGUCAAUCUCUGUGGCCCACUCAGCCCGGGGAAGACGUUUUACCCAGGGAGCUGCUUUUCAAACGUUCAGCUUGUGCCUGUACAUUUUGCUCCCCUGGGUAAAAAACAAACAAACAAAAAAUUAGCAUCAAACCCUAAAUUAUCACAUUUCCCUAGGAAAUCAGUCUGGGUAGCGGAUAGCUUUAAAAGAGCUCAGAUAGCUCACAGAGUCUGCCAAGGCUAACUAGUCAGAAAGAGAGAGGGCAAAGGAGGAAGGCAGUUUCAAACCCCACCCCACCCCAGCUCCCUAAGGGGCUGAUGAGUCUCUGAUAAGGUACAUGGUGCCAUUUCCACAGGGAUUUGGAGCGCAUUACAGAAAGCCAACAUGCCCUGGAUUCCAGGAAAUCAUUUGCUUUUCAGAGCAUUGGUUCUCAGUGCUGCCCUGCCUUGUGGCUAGGGGAGGAGACAGGGGAGGAGACACAGGAGGAGGAAAAAGGAGAGUUUCGAAGCUGUGUUGGCUGCCACUGCAAUACGAAUGAGCGCACGGGACCGGCUGGAGAAUGUCCUGGAGGAGCUGGAAGAGAUGGACUUCAAGAAGUUCAAGGUGAAGCUGAACCAGGCCCAGCCGCCCUCGGGCUGCAGCAACAUCCCACGGGGUCGGCUGGAGCGGGCAGACUAUCUAGAUGUAUGCAGCCUGAUGAUCAGCUACUACCUGGAGACGGGAGCCAUACAGAUGGCCAAGCAGGUGCUGGAGGACAUCAACCAGAGGCACUUGGCUGCCAGGCUGGAGGGGGUAUAAGAGGGGAAUCUAAUGAAAAAGAAAACAGCCCAGAGAACAAAAUGCACUUUCCCUCUAAAGAGCUCCAAAUCCUGCCACACAGAAAGAAAGAAAACUCAUGAUCCUGCCACCCACCGGGGUCUCUCUGCACAUGCCCAUGGCCAACAAUGAAGAUCACAGAAGCAUCGCAGACACCUUUCUCUGCCACUCCUGCCAUGCUCCAAUUCCUGUCUCGGCAUCUUACGGCUUUUGCCUUUCCCUGCUCGGGAUGACCACAGAUUUCCACCAUUCCUAUUUUUGAACAAAUAAAGAGAUAUUUUUACAGUUGUUA